rnacentral:rRNA from 1 species
AGUAACGGCGAGUGAAGCGGGAAGAGCUCAGACUGAAAACCUUCGGGGAUGUAGUCUGGAGAUGGGAUAUCGAAUCUCAGGAAGCCGAUAAAGUGGUCUGGAACGACACGCCGUGGAGGGUGACAGCCCCGUUCGUAUCGGUGGAAAGAGAAAGUAGAUACCUAUCAACGAGUCGAGUUGUUUGGGAUUGCAGCUCAAAGCGGGUGGUAAAUUCCAUCUAAAGCUAAAUAUGGAUAGGAGACCGAUAGCAAACAAGUACCGUGAGGGAAAGAUGAAAAGCACUUUGAAAAGAGAGUGAAAUAGUACCUGAAAUUGCUGAAAAGGAACCGCUGGGAAGCAGUGUGCGGGCCGUAGAGUCUCUCUACGGCAUGCAGGUGAGGCUUGCUUCGAUGGUGAGGGAAAAGGCGUGCUUGCACUGUCCUACCAAUCCUCGGAGUGACUCUCACGAAAUGCUUCUCAUCAACCCGUCUUGAAACACGGACCAAGGAGUCUAACAUGUGUGCAAGUGUUCGGGAGUCAAGUCCCAAGCGCGAAAUUAACGUAAAGGUGGGUUUCGGCCCGCUGAGGUAGGAAGCUUCGGCUGCACUAUCGACCGACCAUGAUCCUUCGAGUGAAAGGUUUGAGUGUGAGCAUACAUGUUGGGACCCGAAAGAUGGUGAACUAUGCUUGAGUAGGACGAAGCCAGGGGAAACUCUGGUGGAGGUCCGUAGCGAUUCUAACGUGCAAAUUGAUCGUCGAACUUGAGUAUAGGGGCGAAAGACUAAUCGAACCAUCUAGUAGCUGGUUCCUCCCGAAAUUUCCCUUAGGAUAGCUGCAACCGAACAGUUUUAUCAGGUAAAGCGAAUGAUUAGAGGCCUCAGGGGUGAAAUGCUCUUGACCUAUUCUCAAACUUUAAAUGGGUAAGAGCCCCGAGUUGCUUAAUUGAACUCGGCGGUCGAAUGACGGUUGCUAGUGGGCCAAUCUGGGUAAGCUAGAUUGGCGAUGCGGGAUGCUCCGAACGUUAAGUUAAAGUGCCAAAGUAUCCGCUAACCUAGAUCCCACAAAAGGUGUUGGUUCAUUAAGACAGCAGGACGGUGGCCAUGGAAGUCGGAACCCGCUAAGGAGUGUGUAACAACUCACCUGCCGAAUGAACUAGCCCUGAAAAUGGAUGGCGCUCAAGCGGAUCACUUAUACUUAACCAAUGAGACAAAUACGACGUCUUAUUGAGUAGGGGGGCGUGGAGAUCGCGGUGCAUUCUGUGGCGUGAGCCGGGAUGAAGCGGUCUCUAGUGCAGAUCUUGGUAGCAGUAGCAAAUAUUCAAAUGAGAACUUUGAAGACUGAAGUGGAGAAAGGUUCCAUGUGAACAGUAAUUGGACAUGGGUGAGUCGAUCCUAAGAGAUAGGAAAAUUCUUUUUGAACUGAUGCCUUCUUCGGAUGGUGUCGGCUAUCGAAAGGGAAUCAGGUUAAUAUUCCUGAACCAGAAAGUGGAUAAUGAGUGGUAACACAAACGAAUGUGGGGACGCUGGCGAGAGUCCUGGGUAGAGUUCUCUUUUCUACUUAACAAGCCCCGUUAGACCUUGGAAUCGGAUUGACCGGCGAAAAGGUGUAAUGGUUGGCAAAGCAGUGUCUCUUUUGCACUGUCCGGUGCGCUCUCGACGGCCCUUGAAAACCCACAGGAGUGAUUUAUUCGCACUUCUGGUCGUACUCAUAACCGCCUCAGGUCUCCAAGGUGUGCAGCCUCUAGUCAAUAGAAUAA